AUUGAACGCUGGCGGCAGGCUUAACACAUGCAAGUCGAACGGUAACAGGGAAAAAGCUUGCUUUUUCCGCUGACGAGUGGCGGACGGGUGAGUAAAGUAUGGGGAUCUGCCGAAUGGAGGGGGACAACUGCUGGAAACGGCAGCUAAUACCGCAUAAUGUCGCGAGACCAAAGCGUGGGACCUUAGGGCCACGUACCAUUUGAUGAACACAUAUGGGAUUAGCUGGUUGGUGGGGUAAAGGCCUACCAAGGCGACGAUCUCUAGCUGGUCUGAGAGGAGGACCAGCCACAGUGGACCUGAGACAGGGUCCAGACGCCUACGGGAGGCAGCAGUGGGGAAUAUUGCACAAUGGGGGAAACCCUGAUGCAGCCAUGCCGCGUGUAUGAAGAAGGCCUUCGGGUUGUAAAGUACUUUCGGUAAUGAGGAAGGUGUGUUAUCUAACUGGUGACACAAUUGACGUUAGUUACAGAAGAAGCACCGGCUAACUCCGUGCCAGCCGCCGCUGUAA
rnacentral:rRNA from 1 species